rnacentral:rRNA from 1 species
CCUACGGGAGACAGCAGUGAGGAAUAUUGGUCAAUGGGCGGAAGCCUGAACCAGCCAAGUCGCGUGAGGGAUUAAGGCCCUGCGGGUCGUAAACCUCUUUUGCCGGGGAGCAGAGGUCCGGACGUGUCCGGGCCGGGAGAGUACCCGGAGAAAAAGCAUCGGCUAACUCCGUGCCAGCAGCCGCGGUAAUAUGGAGGAUGCGAGCGUUAUCCGGAUUUAUUGGGUUUAAAGGGUGCGUAGGCUGGCAUUUAAGCCGGCGGUCAAAUGUCGGGGCUCAACCCCGGCCUGCCGUCGGAACUGGGUGCCUUGAGUGGGCGAGAAGUAUGCGGAAGGCGUGGUGUAGCGGUGAAAUGCAUAGAUAUCACGCAGAACCCCGAUUGCGAAGGCAGCAUACCGGCGCCCUACUGACGCUGAGGCACGAAAGUGCGGGUAUCGAACAGGAUUAGAUACCCCAGUAGUC